GUGCUCGCUUCAGCAGCAUAUAUACUAAAACUGGAACAAUGCAGAGAAGAUUAGCAUGUCCCCUUUGCAAGGAUGAUAAGCAAAUUCAUGAAGCGUUCCAUAUUUUU
rnacentral:snRNA from 1 species